AGUUUACUACUAAAAUUGUCAGGUUUAAUUUAGGAAUAAAACUGUUGCUUGCGCAGGUAACACUGCAU
rnacentral:tRNA from 1 species